rnacentral:rRNA from 1 species
GGCCUACGGGACGCAGCAGUGAGGAAUAUUGGUCAAUGGCCGGAAGGCUGAACCAGCCAAGCCGCGUGAGGGAGGAAGGCGCAGAGCGUCGCAGACCUCUUUUGCCGGGGGACAAAAGGCCGGACUCGUCCGGUCCUGAGGGUACCCGGAGAAAAAGCAUCGGCUAACUACGUGCCAGCAGCCGCGGUAAUACGUAGGGGGCGAGCGUUGUCCGGAAUCACUGGGCGUAAAGGGCGCGUAGGCGGUAAUAUAAGUCAGAUGUGAAAGGUGGGGGCUCAACCCCUAGAGUGCAACUGAUACUGUAU